CCCAACUUACACAUGCAAGUCUCAGCACGCCAGUGAAAAUGCCCUUUCAACCUUUAUAGGUCAAGGAGCUGGUAUCAGGCUCAAUUAGCCCAUGACACCUAGUCUCACCACGCCCCCAAGGGUCAGCAGUGAUAAAUAUUGAGUAUAAGCGACAGCUUGACUCAGUUAGAGAAAAGAGAGCCGGCUAAUAUGGUGCCAGCCGCCGCGGUUACACCAAAGGCUCAAGUUGCUAGACACGGCGUUAAGCGUGAUUAAAGUUCCUCCAUUAGGGCCAAAUCAACACUCGGUAGUAUAAGCUUGUUGUUGAGAAGACCAUAAACGAAAGUUGCCCUAACUUACUUACUUGAACUCACGAAAGCUAAGACACAAACUGGGAUUAGAUACCCCACUAUGCUUAGCCGUAAAUAUUAAUUCACACCCACUUCGCCAGGGUACUACGAGCUACGCUUAAAACCCAAAGGACUUGACGGUGCCCCAUCCACCUAGAGGAGCCUGUUCUAUAAUCGAUAAUCCCCGCUUCACCCGACCACUCCUUGCUAAUCAGUCUGUAUACCUCCGUCGUAAGCUUACCAUGUGAAGGAUAGUAGUGGGCCUAAUGAUAACGCCAGUACGUCAGGUCAAGGUGCAACUUACGGAGUGGAAAGUAAUGGGCUACAAUUUCUAAGAUAGAACAAACGAAAGACUAUGUGAAACCUAGUCAUGAAGGCGGAUUUAGUAGUAAAAAGAAAAUAGUGUGUUCUUUUUAAUGGCUCUGGGACGCGUACACACCGCCCGUCACCCUCUUCGACAACUAACAUUUUCCUAACCCAUU
rnacentral:rRNA from 1 species